rnacentral:rRNA from 1 species
UACAGAGGUCUCAAGCGUUGUUCGGAUUCAUUGGGCGUAAAGGGUGCGUAGGCGGCGCGGUAAGUCGGGUGUGAAAUCUCGGAGCUUAACUCCGAAACUGCAUUCGAUACUGCCCGUGCUUGAGGACUGGAGAGGAGACUGGAAUUUACGGUGUAGCGGUGAAAAUGCGUAGAGAUCGGGAGGAACACCAGAGGCGAAAGCGGCGACCUGGACAGGCACUGACACUCAACUACGAAAGCGUGGGGAGCAAACAGG